AUCCGGUGUUUGGCUUUGAUAGGUUACUUGUGUUUUACCGUGAAGAAUAUUACAAGUUUUUUUUUAAAAUUUAUAUUGUCUCAAUAAAGCCAAGAUAAUUGAUGUUAAAACAUUUAAUAAACCCGCUUUCAGAGCAAAUAGAGAAACAAAUACUUAUUACUUUCAAGAAUAUAUUCUAAGACCUGCUAAGCCAUCCAGUGUGAAUUUUAGUUUCAACGUGAAGCUGAAAAGAUGAGUUUAAUUAAAUUUGUUUUAAACUACACACCGGAUACAUGGGAAAAUCCACCGUGUUACGAUACGAGCUAUGUACUAAUAGAAGUCAAAGAGUACACUAGUGAACAUAGAAAUAUAAGCGCUUUUUUCAGUUUACCGAUUAAAAAAAUUAAAAGAGUGCAAAAUCCAUUUCAAUAUGGACGGUUUAUGCUGAGGAAAGAAAAGCUGAAUAAUUACAUUGAGGAAGAUGUUUUUCACGCAGUACAUAAAGACGAUUUGAAUUCAGCACUUAUACACAAUUGCGAUUAUAGAAGAUACACAAAGCGUUAUGAGAACAUAAAUUGCACUAAUAAGCACCCAUAUUUCUAUAGUUCAACUAAAAGAUUACUAAGAAAAAUCGGAUACUAUUCAACCCGCUCAAUUCGUGUACUGAUUUUAAGUAAGAUAUCGUGUGAAGUAAAUUCUCAAUGUAAUUACUACAUUAAGUAUAUCGUUGAACUAGAUAAGGCUUAACUUGAACAUCAUUCUAUUACUUUUGACCAUUUUUAUACAAUGACAUUCUUUUUGACUAUUUGUAUUUUUUAUCUUUAUAUCAGGCAAGUUGUUGUACAGAUUGUCCCUGUUCUUAUUAACAUUAUUAUUUAAAUUGUAAGUGAUGUCUCGCAGAGAAACACCUUGUUUGCACUAAAUGUUUUUUUUAAUUAUUAAUAUAUAC